rnacentral:sRNA from 1 species
UCAUAUUGGGUCUUACCUUCAGCAAAAGG